GACGAACGCUGGCGGCGUGCCUAAUACAUGCAAGUCGAACGCAGUGGGGACGGGUGAGUAGCACGUGGGUAACCUCCCAUCAGAGGGGAUAACACUUGGAAACAGGUGCUCAACCGAUACGGGUGGAUGGACCCGCGGUGCAUUAGCUAGUUGGUGAGGGAACGGCUAACCAAGGCCACGAUGCAUAGCUGACCUGAGAGGGGGAUCAGCCACACUGGUACUGAGACACGGCCCAGACUCCUACGGGAGGCAGCAGUGGGGAAUCUUCGGCAAUGGACGAAAGUCUGACCAAGCAACGCCGCGUGAGUGAAGAAGGUCUUCGGAUUGUAAAACUCUGUUGGUAGAGAAGCGGUAUCUAACCAGAAAGCAACGGCUAACUACGUGCCAGCAGCUGCGGUAAUUC
rnacentral:rRNA from 1 species